rnacentral:misc_RNA from 1 species
CAGAGACUCUGCCCUUUGGGUAGACCUCCCACCCUGUGUCGUUAUACCUUCGUUGCUUUGGCGGGCCGCGGGGCUCCGGCCCUGCCCCCGGCUCCGGCUAGGGCGCGCCCGCCAGAGGACUCCCAAACCUGAAUGUUAGUGUCGUCUGAGUACUAUAUAAUAGUUA